rnacentral:pre_miRNA from 1 species
AUGUGAGUCACCUGGAAAUCUUGUUAAAAUGCAGAUACUGAUUCAGUAGGUCUAGCGUGGAGCCUGAGAUUCUGCAUUUCUAACAGGCUCCCAGGUGAUGCUAAU